rnacentral:rRNA from 1 species
CAAGUCGAGGGGCAGCAUUUUAGUUUGCUUGCAAACUGAAGAUGGCGACCGGCGCACGGGUGAGUAACACGUGUGCAACCAACCCCGUACCGGGAGAUAACCCGCGGAAACGUGGACUAACAUCCCAUGAUACUCGAGAGCCGCAUGGCUCUAGAUUUAAAAUUCCGGUGGUACGGGACGGGCACGCGCGACAUUAGGUAGUUGGCGGGGUAAGGGCCCACCAAGCCGACGAUGUCUAGGGGUUCUGAGAGGAAGGUCCCCACACUGGAACUGAGACACGGUCCAGACUCC